ensembl:lncRNA
GACUAAACAACUCAGUGCCUCCUAUUGGAGUGACAUAUAACGGGUCCAUCAGGCUUUGGGGUUGCUCUUUCUUUUGAUAUCCAUAUAUAAUUCUUAGAACUACAGAAGGGUCAGCCACAGGAUGCUUCCCCUGGGGGAGAGCCAGUCACCUCUCUCCUCAAACCCCUGGUCCAGGAUCCUCCCAAUCAGUCCUGACCCUCUUGUCCACUCUUUACAACCCUUUAUCCUUUGUACACUCACUGUUCUUGCCUCUUCUAUCAGUCACUGUCAACAGAAGUCCAUGUUGCAUGGACUAACGCUGAAGGUGUGGAAAAUUUGGAAAGGAAUUAUUCAGUACAUCAUAAAAUCUAACUCAGCUGUCACUGCUGCUAAUGUCCAUUUGUAAGGAAUCCUUACCUGGCCAAGUUCCUGGGCAUACCCUCAGAAUGGAGUCCCAGCUACCACUUCUUCCUCACCCACCAAAAGAAAACUCAAUCUUCCUCAAUAUUAUGAAAAAGAAAACAACCCAUCAAAACUCUACAGUAAUUCAGCCAUCUUGAAGUACAGCGUUAACCUGCCUGUGUAUGCUGCUGAGAAAAGCUCCCCUGUCCCAUGUCUCGUUUUAUUGCACAUCAGAAAGCCACCCUCAGCCGGUGGUUCAGAUUUGGAGCUGGUAACACAAAGCCGCAUCAGACUUCCCCACCCUGGCUCUGCACCAAGGCCUCGGAGGAUUUCUUGUCACAUGAGUCUUUUCUAGGUCCUUUAACUUUUAUUUUGAAUUCUGUGUGUUGAGCUCCUGGUCUUCAAUCAAAG